CAGUAGCCGCGGUAAUACGAAGGGUGCAAGCGUUAAUCGGAAUUACUGGGCGUAAAGCGUGCGUAGGCGGUGAGUUAAGUCUGCUGUGAAAUCCCCGGGCUUAACCUGGGAAUGGCAGUGGAUACUGGCUCGCUAGAGUGUGUCAGAGGAUGGUGGAAUUCCCGGUGUAGCGGUGAAAUGCGUAGAGAUCGGGAGGAACAUCAGUGGCGAAGGCGGCCAUCUGGGACAACACUGACGCUGAGGCACGAAAGCGUGGGGAGCAAACAGGAUUAGAUACUCGCGUAGUCCCUGUCUCUUAUCU
rnacentral:rRNA from 1 species